rnacentral:rRNA from 1 species
AUUGAACGCUGGCGGCAUGCCUUACACAUGCAAGUCGAACGGCAGCAUGAUCUAGCUUGCUAGCUUGAUGGCGAGUGGCGAACGGGAGAGUAAUACAUCGGAACGUGCCCUGUAGAGGGGGAUAACUAGUCGAAAGAUUAGCUAAUACCGCAUACGACCUGAGGGUGAAAGUGGGGGACCGCAAGGCCUACUGCUAUAGGAGCGGCCGAUGUCUGAUUACGCAGUUGGUGAGGUAAAGGCUCACCAAGGCGACGAUCAGUAGCUGGUCUGAGAGGACGAUCAGCCACACUGGGACUGAGACACGGCCCAGACUCCUACGGGAGGCAGCAGUGGGGAAUUUUGGACAAUGGGCGAAAGCCUGAUCCAGCAAUGCCGCGGGUGUGAAGAAGGUCUUCGGAUUGUAAAGCACUUUUGUCCGGAAAGAAAUGGCUCUGGUUAAUACCUGGGGUCGAUGACGGUACCGAAAGAAUAAGGACCGGCUAACUACGUG